UUCUCCGUGGCGCAAUUGGCUAGCGCGUUCGACUGUUAGAUAUCCAAGGAUCUUCCCUGGCAUGUUGUGCAAUCGAGAGCUUGACAGUUCAACCCUGUCCGGGGAAG
rnacentral:tRNA from 1 species